ensembl:lncRNA
GUUCUGAUUAAGUUUUUUCAUAGUAUUUUCUCAUAAAGUACAAAAGAUUUUCUCAUAAUCAUGUAAGAGCACAGAAAAUCUAAAAGAAGAAUAACACAAAAAGUGCCUUUCUCACAUAAAAGAAGUUUGCAAGAGUCAAUAAUAGGGCUGGUGAAGUAGUUUUAAGAAAUCAUCAGAACCAGCGUUCCUUUUAUUUCAUUGCUCUUCCUUGCUUGGAAUUCUGCCUGGGAUGUAAGAUAGUUGAUCAAGCUUCCGCCAUCACAUCUGUUCAGUUCAGUCGCUCAGUCGUGUCCGACUCUUUGCGACCCCAUGAAUCGCAGCACGCCAGGCCUCCCUGUCCAUCACCAACUCCCGGAGUUCACUCAGACUCAGGUCCAUCGAGUUGGUGAUGCCAUCCAGCCAUCUCAUCCUCUGUCGUCCCCUUCUCCUGCCCCCAAUCACAUCAAAGAAGCAAAGUGAGGCAGAUAUCAGGGGUUGGGUAUGUAGGCCCAGAGAGGUUUCAUGACUUGCUUUUGGUCUUAGAGCCAAAUCAAUGACCUCAUUCUGCAGUUGAGGAAACAGGUCCAGGGGAGGGCC